ACACUUUCCUGUGAGUUCAGAGUUAAUGAAGACAUGUGGAUGCAAAAGGAAAACUUGCAGAGCAAAGUCAUUGCCAAACAGGUUGUGUAGCCUGACCUGUGAAACAUUGUGAAGAAGGAAGAUCGCAGUUUCAGGGAAGAUGACUCGAUAACACCACAGAACAGACAGAUUGCCCAUCAUGAUUACAUCCAAUGGUGUCUUGGCCAAAUAAAAGAUGGUGGUAAAUGGAUAAGAGUCAAGGUGAUUUCAAG